GAUGAAUGCUGGCGGCGUGCCUAAUACAUGCAAGUCGAGCGAACAGACGAGGAGCUUGCUCCUUUGACGUUAGCGGCGGACGGGUGAGUAACACGUGGGUAACCUACCUAUAAGACUGGGAUAACUUCGGGAAACCGGAGCUAAUACCGGAUAAUAUUUCGAACCGCAUGGUUCGAUAGUGAAAGAUGGCUCUGCUAUCCCUUAUAGAUGGACCUGCGCCGUAUUAGCUAGUUGGUAAGGUAACGGCUUACCAAGGCAACGAUACGUAGCCGACCUGAGAGGGUGAUCGGCCACACUGGAACUGAGACACGGUCCAGACUCCUACGGGAGGCAGCAGUAGGGAAUCUUCCGCAAUGGGCGAAAGCCUGACGGAGCAACGCCGCGUGAGUGAUGAAGGUCUUCGGAUCGUAAAACUCUGUUAUUAGGGAAGAACAAACGUGUAAGUAACUGUGCACGUCUUGACGGUACCUCACCAGAAAGCCACGGCUAACUACGUGCCAGCCGCCGCGGUAA
rnacentral:rRNA from 1 species